UUAUCUUCAGGGCAGGGUGAAAUUCCCGAUCGGCGGUAAAAGUCCGCGAGCAUUUAAUGCAGGAUUUAGAAGUUGUCUUAUGACAGCGGUCUGAAUCAGGAUUCGGUGUGAUUCCGAAACCGACAGUACAGUCUGGAUGAAAGAAGAUA
rnacentral:ncRNA from 1 species